rnacentral:rRNA from 1 species
AGUGAACGCUGGCGGCAGGCCUAACACAUGCAAGUCGAACGGCAGCACAAGAGAGCUUGCUCUCUGGGUGGCGAGUGGCGGACGGGUGAGGAAUGCAUCGGAAUCUGCCCAUUUGUGGGGGAUAACCUCGGGAAACCGGGACUAAUACCGCAUACGACCUACGGGUGAAAGCAGGGGAUCUUCGGACCUUGCGCAGAUGGAUGAGCCGAUGCCGGAUUAGCUAGUUGGAGGGGUAAAGGCCCACCAAGGCGACGAUCCGUAGCUGGUCUGAGAGGAUGAUCAGCCACACUGGGACUGAGACACGGCCCAGACUCCUACGGGAGGCAGCAGUGGGGAAUAUUGGACAAUGGGCGCAAGCCUGAUCCAGCCAUGCCGCGUGUGUGAAGAAGGCCUUCGGGUUGUAAAGCACUUUUGUUGGGAAAGAAAAGCAGCCGGUUAAUACCCGGUUGUCAUGACGGUACCCAAAGAAUAAGCACCAGCUAACUUCGUG